CAGGUCUUCACAGCAUUACUACUUAAAGCACUACACUUUCUAAAUAAUAAAGAAUCUGCUAGACCGGCUCCUUGCCUAUCCUUUCUGGAAAGACUUUCGUAAUACUUUUGAUUCAACCAAGGGGUGCUACCCAACUUGCUAUCUCAUGUGCUCCAAGUAAAUAAACAAAUAAAUGUUAUUGAUUAGCCCUUAGUCCAGGCAUGAGGAAACCUUUUUGCCUUGGGGCCACAUUGUGGGCUCAGCCAGGAGGGCUGGGAUGGGAGGGACCAUUUGCACUCUGGGCUGGGUGGGCCCCAUGAGGGGUAGGGCCUGGGAGAGGGCUGGGCAAGGAGGGAGCAGGGCAAGGCCUGGGUCAUCCUCAGGGCUGCUUGGCCCAUCCUUAUGCCGGCAGGAAGGUGGGACAGGAGAUGAAGCUAUUCAAUGCUAAUUAAGGUGAUUAACUACAACAUUCACACUGGCCUCCAACUGACAGAGUUCUUCUCUCACCCUGGACUUUCCACAGAUAUCUAUAAACCUUCCUUGCUUAGUUUCUCCAUACCUCACAACCGCUGAGGAUGCCUGCCAUAGAUGUGGGCGAAACGUCAGGAGAAAAUACUUCUAGAAUAUGGCCAUACAGCCCGGAAAACAUACAACAACCCUGUGAUCUUGGCCAUGAAAGCCUUCAACAACACAUUAAAUAAAAUUCCUCGGUGGCUUCUGCUUCAACUUGGUGCUCCGCAGAUACAAAUCCGUUCGUUAUAAGGGAUGCUGUUAAACCUCCUGUAUCUGACCUGUAUCAAGAUGAUCAAAUCUAGACUGAG
rnacentral:lncRNA from 11 species